rnacentral:rRNA from 1 species
UACAGAGGAUGCAAGCGUUAUCCGGAAUGAUUGGGCGUAAAGCGUCUGUAGGUGGCUUUUUAAGUUCGCCGUCAAAUCCCAGGGCUCAACCCUGGACAGGUGGUGGAAACUACCAAGCUAGAGUACGGUAGGGGCAGAGGGAAUUUCCGGUGGAGCGAUGAAAUGCGUAGAGAUCGGAAGGAACACCCAAGGCGAAAGCACUCUGCUGGGCCGACACUGACACUGAGAGACGAAAGCUAGGGGAGCAAAUGGG